rnacentral:tRNA from 1 species
GUACCCUUAGCUCAAUUGGAUAGAGCGUCUGACUACGGAUCAGAAGGUUAGGGGUUCAAGUCCUCUAGGGUACGCCA